ACUUUCAACAGUAAAGAUUUAUAAAAAAUAAAAAUAAAAAAUAAACAUCAGAUGCCUAGGUUGGGUAGUUCUCUCCUUGGCCCAGGAACCUGCUGGGUAAUUGUGUCCUGUCAGAUAUGCAUGAGGAAUCCAAGCCAGCCACUCUGAAUAGGAUCUGGUGAUACUGCUACCCUGGGGAAUUCCACUUCAGUUAAAUCAGAUUAGUCCACUCAGCAUGCUCUAGGCCAGAGCAAAGAGCCCUGAAUUUGGAACUCAAGUGAAGUCCCAACUCCAUCACUGCAGAGAAGUCAGGGUGGGGCUGACUUAUCAGGAAGACUGGGUAUUUCCUGGUCUCCCUGGAGGCCUUCAUCCCCAUGUCCAACACUGACCACGACAAAGACAGGUAACGAGCACCAGCUCCAGACUCCAAUGAUCUGCGUCCAAGUCCACAUGUCCUCACUUAACUGGCAUUUUGGCCGAGUGGCUUCACCUCCCUUGUCUUGGUUUUAGCAUCUGUACACUGGGGAUGAGAAUAAUGGACUCUCUCUUAGAAGGUCAUGGGGAUUUAAUGAAUCAUGUCGCUAAAGUAAGCUAAGCCAACUAAGUAUUUGUUAAAUAAAUAAAAUCUGUUUGCUGAUAUGAGACAAUCUGUGAAACACUGGGCAUGUGAGCCUAGGAUGUGGCACAGCUGGGCUCAGCCUUACUUCCUUGUAGGUCCUGGAGCAAGAACUAUGUCCUCUUAAGUUACAACUGUUGUACAGGUGCUGAAGAGGGACACUGGUUAAUUGCAGGAGGGUGGCCAGGCUCAAAUUUAAAUUCAAGGCCCCCCGGGAAGGAGUAGAUGUCCCAGAGUGGAUUGUCUGCAGACAAGGGGAGGGCAAGUCUGGGGGUGCUCAUGGGCAGUAGGUGAAGGUGAGCAUGGCUUUUGCUCUGAGGGCAGGAGAUGGAAGUGUUAGUAGGGAGGGCUUCUGACUCAUGAGGAAGACUUGUUACUCUGCAGGGCUGGCCUACCCUUCUUGUCUAGGGUGCUAUAGGGAGCUUCUCGACGAAGGUAGAGAGUUGGACAAGAUAAAACACAUGGGUUCCUCCCAGAGCUAAUAGUCCUGGCCUCUAAUGAUUCUGUUGGCAUGGAGAUAUGGUUACUGAUAAGUGUGGUGGGAACAAAGCCAUCGCUAUUUUAAAGUUCCAGUGUGAUGCUUGCCAAGAACUCGAUUAAGAGUAUCUGCCCUGAUUCUGCCUCUUGAUGAAGUGCUCAGCGGCCUCACAUUGCUAGAAGGCCCCCACCUCACUCCUCCCAUAGAUUAUGAAACAUGGGUGGUGGUGACAGCUCCUGGCAAGGUCACAAAGGCAAUUUGAGAGCUGUCAUUGCUCAAGAAUCCAAAGGUGGACCUGCAACCCCUUUUUUGAUAUCAGCGGCAGCUGGCCUUGCAACUUCAAAAGGGCUAUCCAGACCUAGCCCCUGGUUUGCCCUGAAUGCAAUGGCAUCUGGACUUCAUUUCGAUGGACUAGAAGUCUGUGAAGUCAUUCCCAAGAGUGGCUUUAGUACCUGCCUCAGCCAAAACAAGCAUAGAGAGACCUGGUUAUGAGGCAAUUAAAGUUUAUUAGGCUCUGGAAUUACAUUCUGGCAUGACCUGUUAUUCAUGGGUUCAGAUACACCGUGAUUCAAAUCCAGCUCUCCCUCCCCACCAUCUCCUUGACCAGCCUUGGAGCAGACUGGCACUGAGCUCCCUGUCCCUGGAGACAUCAAAUGGAACCUAUGGGACCACUUCUCCAGGGAGCCUCAAAUCCAGUAGAAUAGGUGCCACAAACUCUAAUGCCUCGUGGCCUGGGAAGGCAACGGAAGGAGGGAGUUUGGGCAGCUGUGGGCAGGUGAGUGUGUGACAACCGCUAUGCAGUUCAGCCAAGUGUCCGCAUGACAGGAGGCAGAGCAAGUGUUGCCAGAUUGUCUGAUUUUUCUUUGAGAAGGCGGAAACCUGGAUUUGUAUGUAAAAAUCUCUCAUUCUUUUUCAAUACUGGCACGUCAUUUGAAUACCAGGUGGGCAUUUUUUCAAUACCACUUUGUUUUUGCAAUACCAGUUUGUUCGCAGUAUCAGUGCAUUUGCUUGUUUGCUUUGAAUCGCCAGGUUGCCACUUUUGCUAGUCGAGAGUUACUCUCCGCAGAGGAUCUAAGACUCUGCAAAGCUGACCAUAGUCUAAGGAAGGACCCGUUUCCGAGGAGGGUCUGUUAGUCUCGGAUCAGAGUUUGCAGGUGCCUUCAAGUUAAUCCGGUCCCCUACUUGCCGCCGGCUGUAGAGACAGGAGCGCUGGCAUGAGAAGGGGAGGCCUGGGAUCUAGUCCCUGUCCUGCCACUGAUUUUGUGUGUGACCUUGGGAAAGCCUCUGGCCUUCUCUGGCCUCAGUUUCUUCUGCAAUUGGCCACAUUACCUCACGUCCUGGCCCGCUCAAAUGGUUAGGGCUCCAUGUGGGAGGAACCCAAAAUGUUGACUUUUCAAAAGCUGGGCUGGUUCUUGAUUUGGGGUGAAAAGACUGUUUUCAGGACCAGUCAUGCAUUUUAAGGAGUUCCAAAACUAAGAAAAGAAUUUACCAGAAAGGAGGUUUUGCCAAAGGUUUCCAGGGUCUCUGUGCCCAGGCCUUAAGGCUAAUGGAGGUGAUCGCUGGCAUCUGCCAAGUGCCAGCGGGAAGUUCAGGUGGUGAUAGGCAAAUGGGGCUUAUGGCAGAUGGACAAUGGCAGGCGAGGGGUCAUCAGAGGACUGGCUUCUCCUCUCUGUUCUCACUCACCCUGCAGCCCGGGAAAUCCUUCCCUGUCCCUGGGCCUCAGUUUCCCCUUCCAAAAACAAGGAAAGGUUUCUGAGCCCCCUUUGAGCCCUGGAGGUCUGUGAUUGUAAUGAAUUCAUGUUUUUAAAGUUGUGGUUUUAUCACAAGAAUUUUAAUUUUUUAAAAAUUCAACAGAUGUGCCCUGGAGGGUGGCUCAGUUGGUUGGAGUGUCGACCCAUACACCAAAAGGUUGCGGGUUCGAUUCCCGAUCAGGACGCAUACCAAGGUGGUGGGUUUGAUCCCUGCUUGGGGCGUGUAUGGGAGGCAACUGAUCAAUGUAACUCUCACAUCAAUAUUUCUCUCCCAUCCUCUCUCUCUAAAAUUAAUUUUUAAAAAGCAUACCCUUGGGUGAGGAUUUUUUUUUUAAUGUUCAAUGGGUGUUUCUUAAGCACCCACUGGUGAUAGGCACUAGGGAUGCAGCUGGAAAAAACCAUAUACAGUCCCUGCCCUCGUGGCACUUACAGUGUUGGUGAGGGGACACAGACAGGGACCAAUCAGAUAGAGAACAGUGUGUCUAGCAAAGUGCUAUGACAUGAGGUCAAGUUUUCAACAGGAGACUGAGCCAAGUCAGGGCUGGAUGGGGACAGCUUGUGCAAGGAAGCAACUCUUGAGCCAAGAUCCAGAGGGUGAUGAGGGGUCACCUAAGUGAACGGGACAAGAAAAACAUUCCUGGGAGAGGAACAGCAUGCGCCAAGUCUGUGCCAGGAGGGGACAAAGCACGUUCAAGGCACUGAAAGAAGACAGUGUUGAGAGGUGAGGCUGUCGAGGUUCAGGUGAGCCAGACCUCGCAGAGUCUUGUUGUCUAUGGAGAGAACAUAGGUCUUCGUGCUGAGAAUGUGGGAAGCCUCAGAAGGGUUUUCAGCAAGGAAAGACAUGGUCCAAUCGGAAAAGACUCCGCUGACUAUUAUUAGGAAGACUCAGAUGACGGUGAUAGGGAUGGGUGGUGAUCGAAGGGAGCAGAAUACAUGCAGGGGGACAAGUGCAGAAGUGGUGACAUGGUGGCCACACCCAGGUGCAAUACAAUGGGGGCCUGGCUGGAGCUGUGACAGUCAAGAGAGAGCAAGUGGUCAGACUUGAGAGCUAUUUAGGUUAUUGGACCAACAAGGCUUGGCAAUAGGUGGGAUGAGGAGUUGAGACCAAUUCCUGGCUCUCUGGGCAGGAGCACCUGGAGGUGAGCCAGACUUAGGUCUGUGUGUGUCCCAGGAGCAGCCCCCGAGGCAGCAGCCUCUGAGAUGACCCAGUGGUCCCCUACUCCUGUUUUUCACACCCUGUGUCGUUCCCUCCUGAGUGUGGAUUGGACUCAGUGACUUGCAGUGAACAAACACAAUCUGUCAGCGGUGAUGGAUGAAGAGGCUGGGUUAUAAAGGGACUGUGCCUUCCAUGGUUGGUGCCCCUCGUGCUCUCUCUUCAUUGCUGGUGUGGGGGGAGGCCAGCUUUCUUGACAAGAAGAGGUGGCCCUGUGGGGAGGCCUGUGUGACCGCUCUUGGGAAUAGCUAUUGGGGAGGAAGGACUGCCAACAGCUAUGUGAGUUUGGAAUCAGAUCCCCCCGCCCCCUGUCAAGCCUUGAGAGAUGACUGCCACCAAGGCCAACACCUUGAUUGCAACCUCGUGAAAAACCUUGAGUCAGAACCACCCAGGGAAGCCACUUUCAGAUUCCCACCACACAGAAGCUGCGAGCUAAUGUUCGUUACUCCCAGCUGCUAGGUUUGGAGGUAAUCUCUUAGGUGGCAAUAGAUAAUCAAUACAGCCCUCCUUCACACAAGCUGUGCUCUCAGCUCCCCUGGGGCUGGGAAGAAAGGGGUUAACCCCAGAGCCUAGGCCUGGGGGGCCAGGGGUUGGGGGGAGCAAGGUUAAUGCCUCCAGCUCGAGAGACAGUUCAUUACAGGUUAUCUAGCGGCUCAGCCAACACUUGGGUCUGCUGCCAGCUACCCUCCCCCAUCCCCCAUCCUGUGGUGCCUGUCAGAGCAGGGGCCCGCAGCGGGGCAUCCUGGAAACCGACAGAUUUAUUAACAGCCUUGCCUCUCUGCAUCUGUCCACAGUGCGCCAGCUGCAAGUAGUGCCGGUUUGGCCAUGGCCGUUCCCCUGGCAGGAUCAGGCUGCCUCAGCUCCGGGGUUGCAGCAUCUUCCCAAGCUCAUGGCUCCAGCUCCGCUGUGGUGAGAGUCCAGAGCCCAGAAACUGCCAAUAACCACAACCAACAUGACUGGAGCACCCUGUGUGAUGAGCCCUUACAUUCACCAUCUCAUUCAUUGAUAACCCUUCUCAAUGACCCUGAGAAGCAGAAAUGCCUCUGAGCCCCAUUCUGCACUUGAGAAAACCGAGGUCCAAGCUCAUGUGGCUGGAAAGUGCAAGGCUGCCUGACUCCAAAGAAAGCAGCUCUACCGCUGCGUAUUGCUCAAACCAGUUUAUGUGCUGAAUUACAUGAAUGGAGCCUUAGCAAUCUUGAGAAAGAAGAAUGCAGUUGAAGGGAUCACAAUACUGAAUAUCAAAGCCAUUGUAAUCAAAACAGCCGGGUACUGGCACAAGAACAGGCAUAUAGAUCAAUGGAACAGAACAGAGACCCCAGAAAUUGACCCAAGCCAUUAUGCUCAAUUAAUAUUUGAUGAAGGAGGGACAUUGGCAAACUACAUUUCUCAGUACCCUUGGAGCUAGGAGAGACCACGUGACCAGUUCUAGCUUAAGCGAUAUAAAUGGGCCCUGGCUGAAUAGCUUAGUUGGUUAGAGCAUCAUCCUGAUAUGCCAAGGUUGUGGGUUCAAUUCUCAGUUGGGGCACAUACAAGAAUCAACCAAUGUAUGCAAUCUCUCUCCUUUCCUCUUUCUCUAAAAUCAACAAAAUAUAUACAUAUAUAAAAAGAGAUGUGAAUAGAAGUGAGACAUGUAACUUCUGGGCCGAGGCAUCUAUAGCUCGUGCUAUCUUCCCACUUUCUCUUCUUGAGAAGCAUCUGUGGAAACCACAGGAUAAAUUGGCAGAAACACGUGAUGGGAGAGCCUGGAUCCCUGGGUCACUGCAUGGAGGAGAAUAGCCCUGGCAAUUGCCUGAUUCCACUGGACUCCGUGUGAAAUAUGAACCUGUGGGGUAUUAAGCCACCAAGACUUUUGAUCUUUAUGUUACUGCAGUAUAACUUAGCCAGUAAAUACAUCCUCUAUAUCCAUAUUGACUUUUUGUCUUCAUGUUCUGUCAAAUACUGAGAGAGAUGUAGUGAACCUUCCAUAAUGAUUUGAAUUUGUGUAUCUCUCCUUAGAGCUCUAUCAAUUUUUUGUUUUGCACAUUUUGAACUUAUGUCAUUAGGUUACAGAAGAUUAAAAUAGUUAUAUGUUCUGGUAAAUGAAAACAUUUACUCUAUACAGUGCCCUUCUUAUUUCUAGCAAUAUUUUUAAUGGUGUUCUUUGAAAUACAAAAGUUUUAAAUGUUUAUGAAGUCCACUUUAUCAGUCUUCUCUUUUAUCACUUGUGCUUUGGGUGCUGUAUCAAUUGCUCUAUUUUUUCCCCCCACAUGGGUGGGUUCAGUUUGUGGAAACUCUCCAGGUUUUUAUAAUCUGUACACUUUUAUGCAUACGUAUGUAAGACUUCAAUACAAAAAUUUUUUAAGGGGCUGAUAAGAAUUGCAACUUUUCCCACUGGGUCAUUGUGAGGACUGAAUGGGUGGCGGGAUGGAUGCACAGUGCUGAGCACCGCACCUGGCACCACUUGUUGCUCAAUCAUGUCUGCUGCUGUUGUUAUUAUUGUUAAAAUCUAGCUCUGCCUCUCAUUGGGUGGGUAGUCUUGGGUCAGGUCUCACUCUCCUCAUUUGUACAACGGGCUAGUACACCCACUUCACGAAGGCUACCGGCCUCUCAAUGACACAAGAUACAACAUCGUCAAGCUUGAAGUCCGCUGCAAAGGCUUGGGUCAAUAAAACAGGAAAGGAGGAAAAGAAAAACCAGGUUCAUGACCGGGAGAGACAAAAUGCUAGGCUGUAAAGAUCUGGGUGGCUGCCAAGCUCUGGCUGGGAACCCCUUCGCGUUUCCAUGAGAGGCCGGCCAGCCCCGAGAAGGAAUGAAGGGGGAGUUGGCCAAGGGAGCGUUGGCUUCCAGGUGGAGCCGGGCCUGGUGGUGCCAGGGUGACCGACUGGCUGUGGAAUCAUCAGAGACCACACCUCCCUCUACCCUCUAGGCCCCCACACAAGUUGCCCUAAUCUUAUUCCAGUUCCCCAUCGUUGCCCAAUCAACCCUCUCCACCCACCCCUACCUCCUCUAUGCCUGCCUUGCCCUUGAGAUCCCACCCAGGAAAUCUUCUCUGCCCUUCUGCUCACUGGGGCUCUCCAUAGCCACGCCCAAGUCCCCACUUUCACCCCGCUACUCCCUCAUAUCACCUUUCACUCACUUCCCUCCAGCGGAAACCUCUUCACAAGAAUAAAACCCAAAUCCCGCUCUGACCCCCAGGACAGGUUGGAGAGCAUGUGAGAUCUUGCUCCUCAGCGUGUGUCAUCAGUUAGGCUCUUAUAAACGUCUUUAAGGGGUGGGGGUGGGGAACGUCAAGGUUUUCAGGGGCUUGAAGCUUAUAACAUCGAGGAAAUUCGCAUUAAGGUAUAACAUGCACAUAGAAAAGGCUCACACCGUAAGCGUACGCCUCUAUGAAUUCCCCAAACUGAACACGCCGUGCGAACCAGCACCCCAGCUCAAGAAUCAGACCCUUACCAGCUGCCAGCUGCUCCCCUGGCUCCCCUUCCGGUUGCUACCCGACCCCUGACGGUAACCACUGACUUCUCACAUCGUAGAGGAGUUUUUCCUGGCGGUGAACUUCAUAGGAACAAACCCAUUCAGUGUGCACCCCUGUCUGGCAUCUUCUGUGGAACGUGUUUGUGAGAUUCCAGUAAUCGUGCACAGAGCUGCAGCUUGUCCUUUCUCCUUCUUACACUGUUAUGUUGAAUGACUACGCCGCAAUGUCCAUACCAUCCUGCCAGCGCUGGACGUUCAGGUUGUUUUCAGCUCUGGGAUAUUGUAAGAAAAGGCUGCUGUGGACAUUCUUGCACGUUUUCGGAGGACACAGACUCGGCAUUUCUGUUGGGUAAACAUCACGGGAGGAAUUGCAGCCUCGUAGGAAAUGAUGGUUCGUCUGCUUGAGAAGAUCCUGCGGAUAGCUUUCCAAGGUGGUCCUUGCAUCCCCCUCUUCUCCUGACAGUCCCUGGGUCCAUGUCUCCACUGAAACUGUGUGUGGGCUCUUUAUUUUACCCACUCUGGUGGGAGGACGCUUGGCACCCUGGCUCAUGAUUGCCAUUAAAACAUCAUGGUUUUCAUUUUAAUUUGGGGGCACCAUCUUUAAGAAAAAGGAUAUAAAAUGAUGAAUAUAAAAUGGGGUACAGAAGUGAAUAUUUAGCCCUGACCGGUUUGGCUCUGUGGAUAGAGCGUCGGCCUACGGACUGAAGAGUCCUGGGUUCGAUUCCAGUCAAGGGCAUAUACCUUGG